GGGGGGGGGGGGGAGGAAGAGGAGGCUUCUCUGAGACAAGAGAGCGUCGAAAAGCUCAACAGGUGAUGCACUGCUCACAGCACUCGGAGGCACUCUGGAUAAAGGUGUCGACAGGAGGACAUAUGCUUUGGUGAAAACACGAAAAAAGCGACUCGGGCGACCACUUCCAGUCCAAUAGAGCACCUUUGAGAUAUGGCGGAUUGGGAGAUCCUCAUCAUGGAUGCGCAGCCAACAAAUCUGCAGCAACUGUGUGAUGCUGUCAUGUCAACAAGGACCAAAAUCUCUGAGGAGUGUUUCCAGCACCUUGUUGAAUCUGUACCAUGAAGAAUUAAUGUAGUUCUGAAGGCAGCAGAAGCAAGCUGUACCUCAUAAAGUGUCCAGUGAGUGUAGCUACAUCAAAACAAAUCUUUUUAAAAUUUUUAAUCAGACAAAUAAGAAGCUUAAUGUGACAACUGGCCUGCGUGCCUUGUAAGUUUAUUCAUUACAUGAAAAUAAAGGUAUGAUAUCUUCGUUAUAAACUUCUAAAGUGACUGCUUUAGAAGUUUAAAAAUAUAUAUAUUGUUAAACAGUACAACUCUAGCGUGGAAUAAAGUGGAUCAAUCCAGCACCAAAAACCAAAACAACAAUUUUCCUGCAGAUAGCGCUGACAAAAAGACCGUAUCAUAUGGACACAAUCACAUCAAAUGGACUGAAGAUGAUGCAGUGUUCAGUGAUAUGGAGCCCCGAGGCUCACAGUAAAUCUGACCUCUCACUGCUGGAAAUUACAACAAUAGAUUCACAGCUUGCUGGUUUCACAUCUCAUCUUUAGUGUGAGUCUGUGUGUGUCCUGAACGUCAGCAUCAAGCAUCGACACGAGAAGUUCCUGCAGAAGAAAGUCUCGGAACUUUGCCCAAAUACUUGUUUGUUUGUUACGCUUUGUAUAAAUUAACCUACAUGUCAGUGAUCACCACGACCUAAAAUCGCCUCUGUAAAAUAAAUAAUCACAUUUAAAUACUAAUUUUACAAACGCUUGCUGAUUUCGUCUCAUAAGGUAAAAUAAAUCAAUAAAUCCAUAAAAAUAUAUUAUUGAAAUUACUAUUAGUAUAUAAUAAUGAUCAAAAAAUACUCAUUAUUAUGACUAUAUACUGUUAUAACAAAUGUUCUGU